rnacentral:rRNA from 1 species
GUCUCAAGAGUGAACACGUAAUUCAUUACGAAGUUUAAUUCAUUGAGCAUCAAACUUUUAAAUUGAAGAGUUUGAUCAUGGCUCAGAUUGAACGCUGGCGGCAGGCCUAACACAUGCAAGUCGAACGGUAACAGGAAGCAGCUUGCUGCUUUGCUGACGAGUGGCGGACGGGUGAGUAAUGUCUGGGAAACUGCCUGAUGGAGGGGGAUAACUACUGGAAACGGUGGCUAAUACCGCAUAACGUCGCAAGACCAAAGAGGGGGACCUUCGGGCCUCUUGCCAUCAGAUGUGCCCAGAUGGGAUUAGCUUGUUGGUGAGGUAACGGCUCACCAAGGCGACGAUCCCUAGCUGGUCUGAGAGGAUGACCAGCCACACUGGAACUGAGACACGGUCCAGACUCCUACGGGAGGCAGCAGUGGGGAAUAUUGCACAAUGGGCGCAAGCCUGAUGCAGCCAUGCCGCGUGUAUGAAGAAGGCCUUCGGGUUGUAAAGUACUUUCAGCGGGGAGGAAGGUGUUGUGGUUAAUAACCGCAGCAAUUGACGUUACCCGCAGAAGAAGCACCGGCUAACUCCGUGCCAGCAGCCGCGGUAAUACGGAGGGUGCAAGCGUUAAUCGGAAUUACUGGGCGUAAAGCGCACGCAGGCGGUCUGUCAAGUCGGAUGUGAAAUCCCCGGGCUCAACCUGGGAACUGCAUUCGAAACUGGCAGGCUUGAGUCUUGUAGA